AUGGAGGAGAAUAGUUCUGUCAGUGAACACAUACUCAAAAUGUCUGGGUAUAAUAAUCACUUGAUUCAACUGGGAGUUAAUCUUCCUGAUGAUAGUGUCAUUGACAGAAUUCUCCAAUCACUGCCACCAAGCUACAAGAGCUUCGUGAUGAACUAUAAUAUGCAAGGGAUGAACAAGACUAUUCCCGAGCUCUUCACAAUGCUAAAGGCUGCGGAGGUAGAAAUCAAAAAGGAGCAUCAAGUGUUGAUGGUUAACAAGACCACCAGUUUCAAGAAAAAGGGCAAAGGGAAGAAGAAGGGGAACUUUAAAAAGAACGGCAAGCAAGUUGCUGCUCAAGAGAAGAAACCCAAGUCUGGACCUAAGCCUGAAACUGAGUGCUUCUACUGCAAGCAGACUGGACACUGGAAGCGGAACUGCCCCAAGUAUUUGGCGGAUAAGAAGGAUGGCAAAGUGAACAAAGGUAUAUGUGAUAUACAUGUUAUUGAUGUGUACCUUACUAAUGCUCGCAGUAGCACCUGGGUAUUUGAUACUGGUUCUGUUGCUAAUAUUUGCAACUCGAAAUAG
rnacentral:rRNA from 1 species